rnacentral:rRNA from 1 species
CCUACGGGAGGCAGCAGUGGGGAAUUUUGGACAAUGGGCGCAAGCCUGAUCCAGCCAUGCCGCGUGUGGGAAGAAGGCCUUCGGGUUGUAAACCACUUUUGUCAGGGAAGAAACGGCUUUUUCUAAUACAGAGAGCUAAUGACGGUACCUGAAGAAUAAGCACCGGCUAACUACGUGCCAGCAGCCGCGGUAAUACGUAGGGUGCAAGCGUUAACCGGAAUUACUGGGCGUAAAGCGUGCGCAGGCGGCUUUGCAAGACAGAUGUGAAAUCCCCGGGCUCAACCUGGGAACUGCAUUUGUGACUGCAUGGCUAGAGUACGGUAGAGGGGGAUGGAAUUCCGCGUGUAGCAGUGAAAUGCGUAGAUAUGCGGAGGAACACCGAUGGCGAAGGCAAUCCCCUGGACCUGUACUGACGCUCAUGCACGAAAGCGUGGGGAGCAAACAGGAUUAGAUACCCUGGUAGUCCACGCCCUAAACGAUGUCAACUGGUUGUUGGACGGCUUGCUGUUCAGUAACGAAGCUAACGCGUGAAGUUGACCGCCUGGGGAGUACGGCCGCAAGGUUGAAACUCAAAGGAUUGACGG